UUCCGUGGGAGGAAGGACAGCCCCACGUCAGAAAGAGGAGCACCAAGUGCCACAGGAGAACUUCCCAUCCCCAAGAACUAAAGCCCUCCGCGAAGGAGAACCCAAACACCGGUUCCAUAAAACAAAAUUUUAAGACCAAUUAAAAAUAAAUAAAAAAAAAAAUUACGCUUCCCACGCAUGCUUUCCCCACUGCCCCCAUCCUCCGCCCCAUCUCCCCUUCGCCCCGGCAGCGUCAGGCGCUGAUGCGAUGUUGGCGUAAUUUGGCGUAUUCAGGCUGCUAUUUUGUACCUGUCUGUUUAUUUGAGAGACAGCCUCAACCUCGUAAUGAACGCAUCUGAAUAUUUAUCUGCUUGCUCUGAAUGGUAUAUUUGUAUUUCAAAUGCUUAAUUGUUAUUUUUAUUUAGCUGCAAAUUGCUGUUUUUAUUUUGCUGGCAUACCUACUUGGAAACCGCUCUAGCAUGAGGCUAACACCGAGCUUUUCUCUACUCCUGAUUAGUUUUUUUUAAUUAAUCCAACGCUGAUAAGUGCGUAAGGACUCUGCAGCCCUAUUCUAGAUUGCCACAGCGAUCUAAGAUGUGAAGACAGUGGAAUCAGCCCCAGAAGAAACUGGCUGAUGCGGAGGAAUUGGGAGAGGGCAAACCAGCCAGGACCAUGGAGGAAACCUGGGCAGGACCCGGGGAGAUGGGAAACCCCAGUGACCAGGAGCAGCUCAGUUCUCCUGUGCCGAACCUGGAGGACCAGGUGAAACGCACCUGGGACCAGUUCCCAGCACCGUGGCCGGCUGGUAUGGGACAACCUCAACACAAAGGCCAAAAAGACCUUCUCCCUGCCCAUUCCCAUCUAGCUGGGGGUGCAGCUCUCCCACCAAAGGACUUUAAAAAGCAUCUGGCCAAGAGCAUCUACGGAGCAAGACUGAGCCGUAAGACCUGGCCUUGUGAAUAAAUCCUUCAUGACACAUUUGAUUGCCCAUGGGUAUCCUCUGGGUUCACACGAGGAUUGGACUGUAGAGUCAACUUGAACUUUUAAAGUUGUGUUGUUCUUUUAGGUAAAUGAACAAAGCAAUAAAAGAAGAAAGAAAAGGAAGAAAAAGGAGGGUGGACACAUUUCCUGAGCAAGGUUAGAGGAGGGUGGGUGGGGAGUGCACAAGGAAACCCCGACUGCCCCUUUUGCAAUGGUACUGCUGAAGACUGACAGCGUGAUUUAGGGUCCUUGGACACAAGGCACACUGCUGGAUCCUUGCUAGGGUGUGCAGGAAGGGAGGAGAAUUAGGCAGUGUUUUGCACCAAACUGUAGCUGCAAACGAGAGACCGUGAGCAAACCGGACCCCCAGAACUGGGUCAUACUCAGAUACUGGACCUCAUCUCCAAGCCAAUAUCAGUAGGAAGGGCUAAAUAUUUCUGGGAAUCACCAAGAAGCUAAUAUCGGAGCUAAAAAUAAAGUUUUAUAUCAGUGUG